rnacentral:rRNA from 1 species
GACGAACCGGACGAACGUUAUUCGGAAUCAUUGGGCUUAAAGUGUGCGUAGGCGGCCUUGUAGGUGAGGUGUGAAAUCCCACGGCUCAACCGUGGAACUGCGCUUCAAACCACAAGGCUUGAGUGAGGCAGAGGUAAGCGGAACUGAUGGUGGAGCGGUGAAAUGCGUUGAGAUCAUCAGGAACACCGGUGGCGAAGGCGGCUUACUGGGCCUUGUCUGACGCUGAGGCACGAAAGAUAGGGGAGCAAACGGG